rnacentral:rRNA from 1 species
AGCGGGCCUCCCGUCGCGUCCAACUUACAAACCCACUGUGCACCUUCACGGCGGAGGGCUGUGGGCGAGAGCCCAAGCCCAAAGUCGCAUAAACCAAACCCCAAGUUUAAAAGAAUGAACAGCGACCUCGUCGUCGCCUAACAAACAUAACAACUUUCAACAACGGAUCUCUUGGCUCUCGCAUCGAUGAAGAACGCAGCGAAAUGCGAUAAGUAAUGUGAAUUGCAGAAUUCAGUGAAUCAUCGAAUCUUUGAACGCACCUUGCGCUCCUUGGUAUUCCGAGGAGCAUGCCUGUUUGAGUGUCUUGAAGUCAUCAACCCCACCCGUUUCGUGCGGUGUGCGGGUUGGACGUGGGGGCCUGCUGCCGCGAGGCUGCUCCCCUCAAAUGCAUCGGUUGGGCCUGUGGGUCGAACUCGACUGGGCGUUGUAUCAUCCUCGCUCUACCGAGAAGUUCCCCUUCUGCGCCCUCCCACGACCUGCCUCUGGAGCGGCGGUCAAGCUAAACUUUGAAAUCUGACCUCAAAUCAGGUAGGACUACCCGCUGAACUUAAGCAUAUCAAUAAGCGGAGGA